GAAGCCUCGCAGCUUCCACCUGGAAGGGGACAUAGAAAUGACCCAGCAGCUGACCUCCGGAGCAGGGCUGAGGCUCAGGAAGCGCUCAGUGGCUGGAGGCUCCGCCCAGAGGCCUGGCAGGCGGCUCUCCUAACCCUCCUGAAAUGAGGCAUCUGGGGCACCAUCUCCUCUGCCUUGGCCUCCUCAUCUGCAAAGUGGGGCGAGCACCCCUUCCCGCACCUCUGGCCUCAUCACCCUACUUUGAAAAGCAAAUGAGAGAGCAGAUGUGAAAGUUCUCUGAAAAGGCAGAAGUGUUGGCGGGUCGAAGGAACUGCUAUUCAUAGCCUGUCUUCAACCUGGGCUGCGGUGAGAGCCCUUUAAAAGUGCAGCGCCCGCGGGAACAGGCAGGGUGGCCCACUUCCAGCUCAGCUCGGUCCUGCCCAGGGGUCCACUCUGGACAGUUCCUCCUUAUUCGAAGAUGCAUCACCCCUGAAAUGACUGAGGUAAAGCAGAGGGAACACGAAACCCCGUGAGGUCCUGAAAUAAGAGCCUGCAGUUCAGUGGAAGACAGCACGCACCCAUGGCACGUGAAGUUCUGGGGCCAGGAAUCGAAUGCAAGGCUCUGCUGUGACCUAUGGCACAGCUGCAGCAACGCGGGAUCCUUAAAAGUUAUUCUUAAAACUGUUCGUCUAUCACCACCAAUACAGCAGGCAUGUCAGGCAAUUUGGUGGCCAGACUACAAAAUCAAUGAAUGAGAAAAAUUUGAAAGCAUUUACGCUUUGGGGAAGCUAGUGAUUCCCACAGUGGAGCCGCCUGAACUCAGGAGUCAGUAGCCUUGACUGUCUGAAGCGCGGCUCCCAGCGCGGGAGUGGGCGCUGGGCAGGGCUCCCUGCCGUGAGCAAGCACACGGACGACGAGCAUCUUAAGGACAGUAUCAAAGCGAUUUCUGAAAGUUUCGAUGAGAAGACAGAGGGAGAGUCCUCUUCGCCCUCGAAGAGGAUGGUGCUCUCCGCUGGGCGCAGAGCAGAUGCGCUUCCGGCCGGGACCCCACGCAGUGGCAUCGCGUCGUGUGGAUGCUUCCGCGCUGGGCUCAAGGUGAUCUUGUGGCGACGAGGCCCCGUUUUUGUUUAGAGACUCAAGUUAAAAUUCUAUUUAAACACGAAACCUCCUUCAUUGAGAAACUUCGCGACCUCAGAGGCCCUCUAGUGCCCAAUUUGGGUAAGUGCAGUUAAAUGUCUUCAAUUCUUUUACAUGAUCAUAAUUUCUUUUCCUUAAAAACAGAAAUUAACAGCGAGAUGAGGGCAAACGGCAUAUGCUCCCAGAUGUAUUCAAGCUGAAGGGUAUGUUCUUCAUCAAAUUUUAAAAAUGCUGCCAGACUGAUCUUUACUGUCUUUGAAGAAUGACCCCAAAGAAUCUGCUUUGAUUCUUCAGAAAGAAUGUUUCAUAAAACACUUCAAAAUUCAAAUGGACAUUUCAAAGGAGAAACAGUACUACAUUUUUAUGCCCAUAGAAUAUUUGCAGUUGGUUUUGUCCUCAUAUGCUUUCUUAGAAUUGUUAGAAUUCCUGCGUUUAAUAGCCAUAAUUUCCUUGCAGAAAUUAAGGAAGAAUCAUAUCAAUGAACCCUUCCUCAGGACUCAGCUAAAACAUCACAGCCUUGAGUCUUGUGGGUGAGAGUGACCCCUCAGUCCAACUGAGAUCAAAAGCAAGGAGUUAACUCUGAGGGAGGCUUCCCCUCCCCCUCCUUCCCCUCCCCCUCCUUCCCCUCCCCCUUCCCUUCCCUCCCCCCCUUCCUUUUCUUUCUUUAGGUUGAAAUAGAUCAGCUCCCUUAAUUCUUCAGUGCACUAAGUUACAGAGAUAUAUUUUAAAAUCAAAGUUGUGAAACGUACUUUAGUUUGGCCAAGUAGUCAAGGGAAUUAGAGAGUCAGAAUACGUAGCAUAGGAAAAUCCAAAAUUAUUUUAUGGGAUUUAAAUAGGUCUGAAGGACAGAUAAUGUGAAAUUUAGCUGGUUUGUCAUAUGGGCAUAAGCGAUUUUUUUUUUUAAGUGGAAAUCCAUUAACAUUUAAAAACCUGUUGUGAUUCACACUAUAGCCUGGCACGACCUCUCCUGCAAGCUCUGCAGUCAUCACAGAAACGGAUGGUGUAGCAGCCAUGCUCGGCAGCUCAGUGGCCUAAUGAAAAGACAUAGCACCUCGGCUUCCUGUAGCGUGUCUUGAGAGUGCCAGGGAAGUCAUUUCUGAGUCUCGCUGUUGCCAUCGGUGAAAGCAAAUAUAUAUCUACCUUUACAUUCUUGUUGUGUGUGUGUGCACACAUUACAUAUAUUUUUACAUUCUGUUUUGUGUGUGUGCACACACACAUCUUUAUAGUCUGCGUUUUACAUGUGCGUGUGCACACAUAAUAUAUAGUAUAUAUGUAGCUGCACAGGUUAGUCAGGGCUCAAAACUAAUUUCCUGUGUGAGAAACCACAGUUCCUUCAGGAAACAGCUCCCUUAAUUCUCCAAUGCACUAAGUUACAGAGAUAUAUUUUAAAAUCAAAGUUGUGAAACAUCUUUUAGUUUGGUCUUUCUUCCUAAGCUGUGCUUAAACCUAGGCCUUUCUUUUAAAAAAAAUUAAAGUUUAUUUCCAAUGCUGUGUCAGUUUCUACUGUUUUAAUGGAAGUUGAUUUGCCACGUGGUGUUGAUUUC